GGGCGCGUAGCUCAGCUGGUUAGAGCGCACGGCUCACAUUCGUGAGGUCAGGGGUUCGAGUCCCUUCGCGCCCA
rnacentral:tRNA from 1 species